GCGCGCACGGGUUUUUUCGUCAAAAUCGACGAGUCACGGGUCGUGUAGUCUCCUUGUAAGUUGUAUUUUAAUUAAGAAAAUAUGACCUUGUUAAAGAAUAGCAUGUUGUGUAGUUAAAGAAUUCCAUUUGUUAUAAAUGAUUAAAUAAAACAUUUCUAGAAAUUAUUGAUCUGCCAUUUUUUAAUCUUAGUUUUGAUCACUUUUAGUUCAAAGUUUCCUAAUGGUUUUUUUGGCCAUAAAAAAAGACUAAUUUAAGAGUAAUUACAGAUUUCGUAAAAAUGGGAUGUACCCAUGAUGUUAUCAACAGUAAUACCCCUAUUACGCUCCCCAUGUCAUGGAAAUGGUGUACAAUUACUAAUAAAUAACCUAAAGACAACGAUGCACACGGAUUGGACCCUUACAGCAGCCCACAGGUACAACCAUGGUAAGGAAAUGAACAAGUGGGUGCCCUAUAUUAAGAAAGGACUUAUAAAAAGGACACAUAAAAAUGUUUAAAUUUUUAAUAUCUAAUAGAAACCAUUAUAAAUGUGUAAGUCUUUAUAUCUUUAUGUAUGUGUAUAUUGUUAUUGUAAUUUUUUAUUUUACAUGUAUUAAUAUAUACUACAAUGUUUAACUAUAAUUAUUCCC
rnacentral:lncRNA from 1 species